GUGCUCACUUCAGCAGCACAUACACUAAAAUUAGAAUGCUACAAAGAAUAUUUGUAUGGACCCUGCACAAGAAUAACACAAAAAUUUGUGAAGUGUCCCAUGAAAAA
rnacentral:snRNA from 1 species